CGGGCUAAUAACAGCAACAAUUAAAUUCUCAAUCAUACCACGAAGAAGGCGAUGUAGCUCAGAAAACAACGCCGGUAGGACCUGAUAUUAAAAAUAAGACUUUUGCCGGCGAAGCAAGUUGGCAGAACAUCUUGGCUGUCAACAACAAGCUUUCGAAUACAGGACUAGUUUGGUUGUUCUUUCAGCGUCGUGUGUGUCCAAAAUUCGUCAAAGAUUUUGAUGAAGCCCUUUCAAAAUACUGUUUGUUUGAUUUAUUUUCUUCCAUAAAGCAUAAAAGAAAAGAAAUUCGAAGAAAUCGAUAAUGGAAUUUGUUACGUGCG